rnacentral:rRNA from 1 species
UCUUCGGCAAUGGACGAAAGUCUGACCGAGCCACGCCGCCUGAGUGAAGAAGGUUUUCGGAUCGUAAAACUCUGUUGUUAGAGAAGGACAAGGAUGAGAGUAAAAUGCUCAUCCCUUGACGGUAUCUAACCAGAAAGCCACGGCUAACUACGUGCCAGCAGCCGCGGUAAUACGUAGGUGGCAAGCGUUGUCCGGAUUUAUUGGGCGUAAAGCGAGCGCAGGCGGUUCUUUAAGUCUGAUGUGAAAGGCCCCGGCUCAACCGGGGAGAGUCAUUGGAAACUGGGGAACUUGAAUGCAGAAGAGGAGAGUGGAAUUCCAUGUGUAGCGGUGAAAUGCGUAGAUAUAUGGAGGAACACCAGUGGCGAAGGCGGCUCUCUGGUCUGUAACUGACGCUGAGGCUCGAAAGCGUGGGGAGCAAACAGG